ACAUGGGUUUGGAUUUAUGACAGGCCCAUCCCCCUGGGCCUUUCAUAUUGCCCCAUGUCAUAGCAAACUGUUGCCCUGAACCAAUGUCUGGCCUCUGUGCCCAUAGGCUGCUGGCACUGAAAAGUGUUGAAGAGUA
ensembl:snoRNA